ACUCCUGUGGCCUUAGCCUCCCAAAGCUCUGGGAUUGCAGUUGCAGCAAAGAUGUUUUAUUCACUGAAGGCAGAAGACAGAAUCAUAAAAUCAUCCAGGCCUAUUUUUAAAGCUGGCCCUACAGAUAAAACUGAUUUUCUCCUUGGGUGGAUGAAUUAUGGAGGGUAAAGAGCAGAAGAUUGUGUGUGUGUGUGUGUGUGUGUGUGUGUGUGUGUGUGUGUGUGUGUGUGUGUGUGUGUGUGUAUUGUAUAUAUUUUGCUGCUGGCUUUCCCUCUGUUCCUUUAAGUAUGCACGGGCAUGUGUGUGCACCUGCUGUAAGCCUACUUCUGUCGCUGCUGGCUGAUCUUGCCAUGGGCCCAUCCAUCCACAGGAUUUGCAACACACUCAGCUCUGGCUCCGUGCCUCCAUUUCUCACACCCACCUUCAUUUUUACCUAAUACUUGCCCUUUUU
rnacentral:lncRNA from 1 species